rnacentral:rRNA from 1 species
GACGUAGGGAGCAAGCGUUGUCCGGAAUUACUGGGCGUAAAGAGCUCGUAGGCGGGAGCGGGCGUCUGAAAGGAAAUCUCAGGGCUCAACUCUGGGGCUUUUUCAGAUACGGCGCUUCUUGAGUGUAACAGAGGAAAGCAGAAUUCCCGGUGUAGCGGUGAAAUGCGUAGAUAUCGGGAGGAAUACCAGUGGCGAAGGCGGCUUUCUGGGUUACCACUGACGCUGAGGAGCGAAAGCGUGGGGAGCGAACGGG